rnacentral:rRNA from 1 species
GCCGAACGCUGGCGGCGUGCUUAACACAUGCAAGUCGAACGAAGUGGCGAACGGGUGAGUAAUACGUGGGUAACCUGCUCUCCUUUUUGGGAUAAGCCUUGGAAACGGGGUCUAAUACCGAAUAAAGGGGGAUGGGCUCGCGGCCUAUCAGCUUGUUGGUGGGGUGAUGGCCUACCAAGACGGUGACGGGUAGCCGGCCGGAGAGGGGGACGGGGCACAUGAGGACUGAGAUACGGCCCAGGCUGCUACGGGAGGGAGCAGUGGGGGAUAUUGCACAAUGGGCGAAAGCCUGCUGCAGCGACGCCGCGUGGGGGAUGAAGGCUUUCGGGUUGUAAACCUCUUUCGCUAUCGAAGGGGUAGGUGGAGAAGAAGCGACGGCUAACUACGUGCCAGCAGCCGCGGUAAUUC